UUUCAGUCAAGAAACGAUAGCAUGGCCAUUGACAAUGCGACUGCAAGAGGAAAGGGGCAUUGUGGUGUUGGAGAUGGCUCAACAAUACACAUGGUUGCAGAGCCUGGCAGUUGCACUCAAGAACAAGAUAGCUGAGGAGGACAAGGGAAAUGAAGGACUUUGCUGUCUCUUAAGAAGAAGAUCGUCAGUGGUGACAGAAGGGUUACAAGUCGUCCUUCAACAAUACAAGACUCCAUUAGGUCUUGAGGCCUCUGUCCUUCUACAUGUUGAAGAAGAAGAUCAAAGUGACCUCAGCAGUCCAGAUACCAGCGAGGAUGAAGAGGAAAACAUAAUUUAGAUAGAAACUGCACAAAGGACUGCGUUUAAGGAAAUGGACUUGGCAUAUAUCUGUGUAGUGUUAGUAUGCUAACUACAUUAUUAUCUGUAUGCAUCCUAUAUUGUUGAAAUGUUCAACCUGUGUCUAGAUUAUCAAGCAUGUUAUUUAGCACGUUGAUGCUCCUUAAAUAUGCACAAACAUCUCAAUAUAGGUGCAACCAUUGUAUGAUAUUAUCAGAUGUAAUAAUUGAACUUAUGUUAUAUUUGGAUAGUGUAUUCAUAAUUUGUGUAUUUAAAGUUGCUAAUGGGCAUUGUUAGCCACAUCACAAACUCACUGUUAAAACACUGCUUAUUGUGCCUUUUUGUGUUUAUGUACUUGCAUUGGUGCAGUAAUAUCGAUGUUAUGCAGUAAGGUCAUUGGUGUGUUUUACAAUGGCUUUGAACAGAGCUCAGUCCAAUCAGAAUAAUCAUUGAUAAUAAAGUAAGUUUUAUAAUGGGUAAGUUGAUAUGAAAUAUUGUAAGCACAUUCAUCAGGAUGACUUUGCUGACCUUGUGACCUUUAUUACCACAUUUAGGCCAAAAUGUGAAAACUCUACUUGAUUGAGUGUAUUAUAGGAUAUAACUGUUGUGCACCAUUGAAGAUAAACAUCAUAAAUUCUUUCUUAAAGAUGGAUAAUUUGUUGGCAAUGUGUCUGUCACUAUCAGUUUGGUUCUUAUAAGCACAUUGUACAUUAAGCACUAUAGUAGCAAAAGAAAAAUACACUAGAUUUGUAUUUUAUGAUUAUACUUAUAUUGUGUAUUACUACAUUUGAUAGAUAACUUUAUUCCCUGUUCUGCUGGUGGUUUUCAAGUGAACUUCACAGUCUAGUGUUAUUAAAUUCAGCCUUAUGGCUUGAUUGACAAAUUUGCAUUUCAUGUAUUUUCACUGCUUUUAUUGUGAAAGACAAAAAAUAAAGUGUUUCUAAACAUGA